GUGGWAUAGACGACCCACAGAGGUUUUGACGGGUAACGGGGAAUUAGGGUUCGAUUCCGGAGAGGGAGCCUGAGAAACGGCUACCACUUAUACGGAAGGCAGCAGGUGCGCAAAUUACCCCCUGGUCGUAGUCUUAGGUAGUGACGAAAAAUAACGAUACCGGACUCAUCCGAGGCCCGGUAAUCGGAA
rnacentral:rRNA from 1 species